GACGAACGCUGGCGGCGUGCUUAACACAUGCAAGUCGAACGGAAAUGCCCCCCCCUUGGUGGUGGUUCUCGAGCGGCGAACGGGUGAGUAACACGUGGGUGAUCUGCCCUGUAAUUCGGGAUAAGCUCGGCAAACUGGGUCUAAUACCGGAUAGGACUUUGAUCUACUGUCUCAUGGGGGCAAAAUUAUUGUUUUGGUGCCGUAUCAGCUCACGGCCUAUCAGCUUGUUGGUGGGGCACUGGCCUACCAAGGCGUCGACGUUCAGCCGGCCUGAGCGGGAGGGCGCCUACAUUGGGACUGAGAUACCGCCCAGACUCCGACGUGAGGCAGCAGUGGGGAAGAUUGCACAAUGGGCGCAAGCCUGAUGCAGCGACGCCGCGUGGGGGAUGACGGCCUUCGGGUUGUAAACUCCUUUCGUUAGGGACGAAGCCACACCUUUUUUGGGUGUGGUGACGGUACCUUUGUUAAGAAGCACCGGCUAACUACGUG
rnacentral:rRNA from 1 species